rnacentral:piRNA from 1 species
CCCACAGAAUGAAUUAAAAUUAAGG